rnacentral:rRNA from 1 species
UACGAAAGGGGCUAGCGUUGCUCGGAAUCACUGGGCGUAAAGGGUGCGUAGGCGGGUCUUUAAGUCAGGGGUGAAAUCCUGGAGCUCAACUCCAGAACUGCCUUUGAUACUGAAGAUCUUGAGUCCGGGAGAGGUGAGUGGAACUGCGAGUGUAGAGGUGAAAUUCGUAGAUAUUCGCAAGAACACCAGUGGCGAAGGCGGCUCACUGGCCCGGUACUGACGCUGAGGCACGAAAGCGUGGGGAGCAAACAGG